rnacentral:lncRNA from 1 species
CUGUUUUUUUACAUGCUGUUUCGUUGUUCACUGUCUUUAGUCUCCAAGGAACAUGUGCAUAUUCUGCCAAUAGAUGUGGGGUCGUAUUAGUCUUUAACAUGCAUAGGAAUCACCUGGAAAUCUGCUUAAACAUGCAGAUUCUGAUUAUGGCUCCAGGGUAGAGAUCCAAGAAUUUGAAUUUCUAACAAGUUCCCAAGUGUUGCUGCUAGUGAAUGGCAAAGAUCUGGACACUAAUAACCUAAAAAGAAUAGUUCAAUUUUAAAAACCUAGAAGUGCUAUGGCAGCUGAAGAGCAAGGAGUUAUUUUCAUGUGUUAAGUUGCAAGACCUCUAGUGUUCCCUCCCUAUGGGACCUCAGUUAUUCCAGUGGCACCAGGGUGGAUCUAAUGGCUUCCCUGCAAGAUGCCAAACUAAGAGGUUUUAUUACCUGGAAAAUACAAGACACAGCUGUUUAUGCUUGGAGGAACCAAUAGAAGAAUUCACUCACAUA